UGAAAACGUCGCAAACAUUUACGAGUUGCAACAGGAACCAGCAACGUUUUUCUUCCUGAACACCAAGGUUGAGAAGACAGCAGGUUUGUGGCUACGUGUUGAUGUAACAGAACAACCGGAACAGAACAGAGCUGAAGAUUAGAUGGACGGGUUUGCAGGUGACAUACUGAGCGGUGGCCGGGCGUUGCUAGGCGAAGACAGCUCGGUCAUGGCCCGCAUGCAGAAGAAGUUUUGGAAGACGAAGCAGGUUCUGAUCAAGGCCACAGGGAAGAAGGAGGAUGAGUACGUGGUGGCUUCUGAUGCCGACCUCGACGCCAAGCUGGAGGUAGGACCCUGACCUUUAACCCCUAACUCUAA